GGAGGUAGUGACAAUAAAUCACAAUGCGGGACUAUACGUCUUGCAAUUGGAUUGAGAACAAUGUACAACUCUUAUCGAUAAGCCAUUGGAGGGCAAGUCUGGUGCCAGCAGCCGCGGUAAUUCCAGCUCCAAUAGCGUAUAUUAACGUUGUUGCAGUUAAAAAGCUCGUAGUUGAAGUGUGGGUGAUCGCUGUUGUGAGACUUCGGUCUCUCGACAGUAAGUCACCCCCUUCCAGUAUCCAGUAGUGGGUAUUCAGUUACUUACUAUUGUGUGUUGGUCAUUUACUGUGAGAAAAUUAGAGUGUUCAAAGCAGGCGUUUGCUUGAAUAGAUUAGCAUGGAAUAAUAAUUGAAGGCUUUCGUGUUCGAUUUGAUUGGUUUGUUCAUGGAAGCAAGGUUAAAAGGAACAGUUGGGGGUAUUCAUAUUCACUAGUUAGAGGUGAAAUUCUCGGAUUUAUGGAAGAUGAACAAGUGCGAAAGCA
rnacentral:rRNA from 1 species